AAAGGCUAAAAUGAAAUAGUGCAUUUUAUGAAAAUCAUUCCAAUUGCCAUGCAUGAUCCAUUAACACACAAUCUGCACGUUCAAUUCAUAUUUGGUGAUGUAUAGCUUGCAAUUCCAAUCAGAAUAGGGCCCUCCAUGCGCCUGUACAGGCCCAUGCAUGGAGGCCCUCUUCUCCCAUGCACACAAUUUUGAUGAUGCUUGCAG
rnacentral:lncRNA from 1 species